rnacentral:rRNA from 1 species
CCAAUAGCGUAUAUUAAAGUUGUUGCAGUUAAAAAGCUCGUAGUUGAAUUUCGGGGUUCUUCCGUUGGUCAGGCUAACCAGUCUGUACUAGCGUGUAGAAUUCCUACCUUCUGGGGAACCAUCAUGUUAUUAAUUUAGCGUGGUGGGAAACCAGGACCUUUACCUUUAAAAAAUUAGAGUGUUCAAAGCAGGCUUACGUCUGAAUACAUUAGCAUGGAAUAAUAAAAUAGGACGGUGGUCCUGUUUUGUUGGUUUCUGAAUCACCGUAAUUAUUAAUAGGGAUAGUUGUGGGCAUUAGUAUUCAAUUGUCAGAGGUGAAAUUCUUGGAUUUAUUGAAGACUAACUUCUGCGAAAGCAUUUGCCAAGGAUGUUUUCAUUAAUCAAGAACGAAAGUUAGGGGAUCGAAGACGAUCAGAUACCGUCGUAGUCUUAACCAUAAACUAUGCCGACUAGGGAUCGGACGAUGUUAAAUUUUAUUGACUCGUUCGGCGCCUUACG